AUUGAACGCUGGCGGCAGGCCUAACACAUGCAAGUCGAACGGUAACAGGAAGAAGCUUGCUUCUUUGCUGACGAGUGGCGGACGGGUGAGUAAUGUCUGGGAAACUGCCUGAUGGAGGGGGAUAACUACUGGAAACGGUAGCUAAUACCGCAUAACGUCGCAAGACCAAAAAGGGGGACCUUCGGGCCUCUUGCCAUCGGAUGUGCCCAGAUGGGAUUAGCUAGUAGGUGGGGUAACGGCUCACCUAGGCGACGAUCCCUAACUGGUCUGAGAGGAUGACCAGCCACACUGGAACUGAGACACGGUCCAGACUCCUACGGGAGGCAGCAGUGGGGAAUAUUGCACAAUGGGCGCAAGCCUGAUGCAGCCAUGCCGCGUGUAUGAAGAAGGCCUUCGGGUUGUAAAGUACUUUCAGCGGGGAGGAAGGGAGUAAAGUUAAUACCUUUGCUCAUUGACGUUACCCGCAGAAGAAGCACCGGCUAACUCCGUG
rnacentral:rRNA from 1 species